rnacentral:pre_miRNA from 1 species
UGAUGAUGAUGAUGAUGAUAAUGAUGGCGAUGAUGAUGAUGAUGAUGAUGAUGAUGACAAUCAUCAUCAUCAUCGCCAUCAUCAUCG